rnacentral:rRNA from 2 species
UUGACCUCGGAUCAGGUAGGGUUACCCGCUGAACUUAAGCAUAUCAAUAAGCGGAGGAAAAGAAACCAACAGGGAUUGCCUCAGUAACGGCGAGUGAAGCGGCAACAGCUCAAAUUUGAAAUCUGGCUGCCUGUGCAGUCCGAGUUGUAAUUUGAAGAGGAUGCUUUUGGCAAGGUGCCUUCCGAGUUCCCUGGAAUGGGACGCCAUAGAGGGUGAGAGCCCCGUAUGGUCGGUCGCCGAGCCUCUGUAAAGCUCCUUCGACGAGUCG